GGCCCUUUUAAAUUGGUCCUGUGAGGCUAAUAAGGGGAUGAAGAAUUACUUAUCUAAUAUAUAUGUGUUUAGAGUAAGUAUUUUUAGACCUCCUUAUAGCCUGACUAGGUUAUAAGGAGGUCUUUUCUU
rfam:Selenihalanaerobacter shriftii strain ATCC BAA-73 genome assembly, contig: EI55DRAFT_scaffold00025.25